AAAACAUGAUUAAGACAUUUUCUGAGCAGCACUUGGAAACGCUCCCAAGUUUCACAAAAGGCUUCAUCGGCACCUUGUCAGAAUUUUGAUAUUUCGAACUUUGCAUGC